rnacentral:ribozyme from 1 species
UCUCUUCUCUUUUCUUUUCUUUUCUGUUUUGUUUUGUUUUUGUUUCUUUUUCAAA